GACGAACGCUGGCGGCGUGCUUAACACAUGCAAGUCAAACGCUGAAGACCUGGCUUUUGUUGGGUUGGAUGAGUGGCGAACGGGUGAGUAACACGUGAGUAACCUGCCCUCUUCUUUGGGAUAACGCCCGGAAACGGGUGCUAAUACUGGAUAUUCACUGAUCUUCGCAUGGGGGUUGGUGGAAAGGUUUGUUCUGGUGGGGGAUGGGCUCGCGGCCUAUCAGCUUGUUGGUGGGGUGAUGGCCUACCAAGGCUUUGACGGGUAGCCGGCCUGAGAGGGUGACCGGUCACAUUGGGACUGAGAUACGGCCCAGACUCCUACGGGAGGCAGCAGUGGGGAAUAUUGCACAAUGGGCGAAAGCCUGAUGCAGCGACGCCGCGUGAGGGAUGGAGGCCUUCGGGUUGUAAACCUCUUUCGCUCAUGGUCAAGCCGCAACUGUGGGUUGUGGUGAGGGUAGUGGGUAAAGAAGCGCCGGCUAACUACGUG
rnacentral:rRNA from 1 species